GACGAACGCUGGCGGCGUACCUAAUACAUGCAAGUCGAGCGCAGGAAGCUGACGGAACUCUUCGGAGGGAAGGCAGUGGAAUGAGCGGCGGACGGGUGAGUAACACGUAAGGAACCUGCCUCAAGGAUUGGGAUAACUCCGAGAAAUCGGAGCUAAUACCGGAUAGUUCUACGGACCGCAUGGUCCGCUGAUGAAAGGCGCUUCGGCGUCACCUUGAGAUGGCCUUGCGGUGCAUUAGCUAGUUGGUGAGGUAACGGCCCACCAAGGCGACGAUGCAUAGCCGACCUGGGAGGGUGAUCGGCCACACUGGGACUGAGACACGGCCCAGACUCCUACGGGAGGCAGCAGUAGGGAAUCUUCCACAAUGGACGAAAGUCUGAUGGAGCAACGCCGCGUGAGUGAUGAAGGUUUUCGGAUCGUAAAACUCUGUUGUAAGGGAAGAACACGUACGAGAGGAAAUGCUCGUACCUUGACGGUACCUUACGAGAAAGCCACGGCUAACUACGUGCCAGCAGCCGCCGUAA
rnacentral:rRNA from 1 species